AAAUUAAAAUUAAGAAAACGAAAGAAGCAAAAAGGUAUAUAAAUGUAGAGAGACUAUUUUAUUCGUUUUGCCUUCUCCAACGGCCACUGGAUUCACCUCAGAAGUAGCUACAGCAUCAUCUCUCUGCUUCCAUGAUAGGUUCUUUGCAUAUGGUGUAAUGCUUCAAAUUGAGGGAAAUAAUUUGGAGAACUUCACCAAAUUUACAAAACUGGCAAUUCCAUAUGGCUAUGAUGAAAUUAAUUUUAAGCUUGUUAUGCUUUUUCUAUCUAAAAUAUAGGUUUCUAGAUUUUAUUCAGACCCAUAACUGAUACUUUUUCUCUAUUAUAUUACAGUUUGCAGAUGUCAUAACCCCGGAGUAGCUGGACACGGGUGUUUUUGUGUGUACCUCAUGCUUGAUGCAAAGGAAAGUUUGUUGCUGAGGCCAUGUGCGUAAUUGCUGCAAAUACAAAUGUUCCCGUGAGUGUCAAAUGCAGAAUUGGACUUGAUGAUCAUGACUCGUACAAUGAACUAUCCGAAAGAUCUGCUUCUGCCCACAUGGGUUUCCAAAGGGUAAAAAUGAGUUCUUCAGAGAUGUGACUAGACUUGAGGAGUUUAUCAAGG